CCUACGGGAGGCAGCAGCGAGGAAUAUUGGUCAAUGGACGAGAGUCUGAACCAGCCAAGUAGCGUGAAGGAUGACUGCCCUAUGGGUUGUAAACUUCUUUUAUAUGGGAAUAAAAUGUUCCACGUGUGGGAUUUUGUAUGUACCAUAUGAAUAAGGAUCGGCUAACUCCGUGCCAGCAGCCGCGGUAAUCCGGAGGAUCCGAGCGUUAUCCGGAUUUAUUGGGUUUAAAGGGAGCGUAGGUGGAUUGUUAAGUCAGUUGUGAAAGUUUGCGGCUUAACCGUAAAAUUGCAGUUGAAACUGGCAGUCUUGAGUACAGUAGAGGUGGGCGGAAUUCGUGGUGUAGCGGUGAAAUGCUUAGAUAUCACGAAGAACUCCGAUUGCGAAGGCAGUUCACUGGACUGCAACUGACACUGAGGCUCGAAAGUGUGGGUAUCAAACAGGAUUAGAUACCCCGGUAGUC
rnacentral:rRNA from 1 species